AAUUGUAUUAUUCAUUAUAACACAUAAAGAAACCUUUUGAAGAAACCAUAAUGUCACGUUGUCUUCAAAAACGAGAUAUCUGGAUUUCCGACUUGUCUACAUGAUUCAUACUCGAUAAUAAUCGAUACAUAAUCGAUCUCUGUACAUGGGACAUAUCGGAUGAGAACAGGUCUAGUCCCUGGAACAGAAGCAGGGAUGUAGCGAGGUAGCACCUGGGGCAGACUACACGAAGCAGGCAGUGUCCUGUAGCUGCGCGUCCUCGUUGAGAAGCUGACCGGGUCGUCUACGUCUCGUGGUCUGGAUACACGUGUAGCCCCGCCUCCUCCGUUUUGCAGUCUCCACUGUGGAGCCGGAAAUCACGUGAAAUCUACAUCUGGCCCGGAAAUAACGCUUCUAAAGAGGACUCGGUAGGCUGAACGCGUGGAUAGUGUGUUUAUCAGCAAACAGUGGAAGAAUUGUAUCUGUGAUCGUCGACAGAAAAAAUGGACAUGUCAAUUUGUGAUGCUGAUUCACAACUUGCACUGGAAAAAUGCAACACUUGUUGCAGAAAUCUUUUUCAUUGUCCUCUUUGCCCAACAUUCAAGCCAGCAAGGAAGGCUAAGAUUGAGAAACAUAUACAUUCCCAUAUGAAAAAUGCUAUUCGUUUCAAAGGUAUGAACAUACCAUUACCAGUACAGUAAUUUCCCCAGUCCUU